rnacentral:rRNA from 1 species
UGGCGGACGGGUGAGUAAUGUCUGGGAAACUGCCCGAUGGAGGGGGAUAACUACUGGAAACGGUAGCUAAUACCGCAUAACGUCGCAAGACCAAAGAGGGGGACCUUCGGGCCUCUUGCCAUCGGAUGCGCCCAGAUGGGAUUAGCUAGUAGGUGGGGUAACGGCUCACCUAGGCGACGAUCCCUAGCUGGUCUGAGAGGAUGACCAGCCACACUGGAACUGAGACACGGUCCAG